ensembl:lncRNA
CUUUGUAUAUGCAAUGGUAUAGUUUUAUAAGAAAGACACUAUUGGUUAUCUAUUGCUGCAUAAAAGAUUACUCUUACCCAUAGCAGUUUAAAACAGCAGUAAAUUUAUCAUUUCACACUGUCAGUACUGAGGAUUGAAGGCAGGGCCUUUCUGCUGAGCUACAUCUCCAGCCCUUUUUUGUAUUUUAUUUAGGGACAAGGUCUCACUAAGUCACCAAGUUGCCCAAGAUAGGCUUGAACUUGCAAUCCUCCUACCUCAGCCUCCCAGGGUCCUGGGAUUCCACAUCCAGCUGAAUUCACACCAUUACUAUGGGUCCAAAACUCAAGUGCGGGUAAGCGAGUGGUUUUGGCUCCAAUCUGUAAUGAGCUGUAGUCAGUAUCAGCCAGAGUUGUGGUUCACUGGACAUGGAGGGUCCACUUUUAGGAUGUUUGUCCACACAGCUGGCAAGCUGGUGCUUCGGCUACUGGCUUCCCUAAAGUGUGUGGUUCAAGCAAAGCAGCCACAUGCCAGGUGAGGUCAUGCCUCUAAUCCCAGCCCACAGGAGGCUGAGACAGGAGCAUCACUGUGAGUUCGAGGCCAGCCUGGGCUACUCAGUGAAUUAAGGACAGCCUGAACUGCCUAACCCUGUCUUAAAAGAAGAAAAAGCCACAAGGCCUUUUAUGACCUCCUCUCAGAAAUCUCACUUGCUUCCUUUACACUGCAUGCAUUAGACUUUAGAAGGGAAAUCCUGAAGUUAGGUUCCCACAGAGGAGGAGAAUCGGGCUCUUCCUUUGGAAAAGAGGACUGUAAAAUGAUGUGUAGACAUAGCUGAAGCCAUGGAACAAAGCAAGCUAACAGGAACCUGUAACUGAAUAUAAAAAUCCAACUCAACCUAAAUUUUUAAAUUCAUAAACAGGAUGAGAGGGAAAGCCACAUUUGAUGGAAAAAUGAGGAUAUUAAUACAGCCCAUGAGGCACAAUGCCAAUUUUGUCAUAAUGGUGCAGAAACAUCUGCUUCAUGAGAGGCACAAGUCCAUGGCUGUUUGAUAUCUUUGCUCAAAACAGGAACUCCAAACAUCUUUCCUUAUUAAGGGAAGAAAUAUUAAUGAUUAACAUUGGGAAUAAAAAUGCCAACUGAAGAAAAGUUUGUGAAUACAGGGGUUUUUUUGCUGAAGAUACUGACAAAGUUGGGAUUAUUUUAUUGGAUCCCAUCCAGGAUGCUACAUUACAUCUUGUCAUACCUUCUUGAGUUCCUCUCGACUGUGAAGUAACAAACUUGAAUUGUUUUUGAGGUCUUUAACAUUUUUGAGGAGUGCAGUAAAGUAUAUUAUAGAAGCCUCUCUACUAGAUUUGUUUGAUAUUUUCCAGACUGAUUAGAUUGGAGUGAUGGGAAAGAUCAUGACAUUUGAAGAAUCCAUGCUUUCAACAUGCUCUCACUGUUGAUAGUGACAAUCACCUGAAUGGGGUGAUGUUUCAGGAUUCUCCCCU